AACAAAAGAGUAAAAUUAAAAUUGUAUCAGCUCUGUCCUCUUUCUUCUUCCCUGCCCGAUACCACCAUCUUUCUUUUCUUCUCUCGCAUCUCAGUCGGCUAGAUCAGAUGAGCCAUCUCCGGCCACCACCCAAUGACACGCACCCCACCACGAGCUUCCUUGGCCCCCGAAACCCCCAACCCGUGAUGCGUGCCUCCCCACUCGUCGGCCUCCGUCGCGACUGGUUCCCUGAAGUUCCGUUUACUGAAGCUUCUUCGCCAUGAACGGGCGACUAACUGCACGCCGACUUGCCGCCCCGCCUAACUGCACGCUUGGUCCGAUCAUCCCCUUCUCCAUUAGCCACACAUAAGCCAGGCGAAGAAGUGAAGUCAAAGGCCUAUCAUUUGGCUGAUUCCCAACGCAACAUUACCAUAUUGGACCAUGUUCAACAGGCUGCUGACUACAAGCAGCUCAAGAAAGAUCACAUUCAAGAUCAUGUACUUCCAUUGACAUUUAACUAUUGCAUUUUCGGGAUUAUGCACUGCAAUCUUAUGCUGUUGUUCAAGAUGUUCUAAUAGGGUACUAGAGACACCACUAUGGACUGAUUUUUUUGGCAUAUUAGUUGGUUUUUUAUUGAGUUUUUAACAUGAGACUAUUUUAAGUUGUAUGUGUUGUGAUUACAAGACUUAUUUUAAUAUACUUUUUGUACUUUCUUUUGGAGUGUGAGGUUGUGAUUUGGUUUUAUUCAUGUAAUUACGAAGCAUGAAUCUAUGCAUUUCUUCUUUUCUUUUUGAUUCGAUAAAGAUGAAGCUUCAUUCAUCUUUGAGUCUGUGAUGUAUCAUAUUCAUUAGUUUUAUGCAUUUUUCACAUAUGAACUCCAUUGUAUACUGAUGAAUUUGUAGUAGUGAUGAAUUUGUAAUGAUAAGUGCAUAAUCCAAAUGUGGGUUCAAAGAAGGAAGCUUGAAGCUGUAAUAUUAUUUCAUUGCAUAUCUUUUUUGGUUUUGACUUUCAGCUUUGUUUCAUUCUUCUGUUUUGGUUGCAUAUUUUGUAUCUAUAGGUUGCUACACUCUCUGCUUUAUGGUUUAUCCAUCUAUGUUUUACAAAUAUGCAUUGAAACAACCAUAUUUUCUCUUGAGAUGUUUAGCAAAGUGUGGUGUCUGGUCACCAGUGAUUGGAAAGUGUAGGGGAAGAUAUUUAUAAUAGUUGAACUACAAUUCUAUUCAAUUUAGUUUCUAACUUAAUUUUUUAUUUUGAUUUGUGUAGUAUGGUGGGAAGAACACAUAUAACCGUGAGGAAAUCAAUGAAACUCUAAAUGAAUGGGCAGCUAAGCUCCUUGAGCGGAUGAGCCGAAGCUGGGAUAACUUUUGAACUUAGAAUUCAUAAACAAACUAAUUAUAGUUAAGGCAUGCACUUAUAUAGUUAAUGCAAGGAUUCUUACAUAAUUUUUUUUUUUUUUGCAAGAAUGUAUUUACAUUUUAAUCUUGUAAGCAUACUUGCAUAGUUAGGAAAAGGAUGUAUUUACAUAGUUAAGGCAAGAAUUAUACAUUUUAAUCUUGUAAGUUUAGCUUUAUAAUAUACUGAAUUAUGUUAAUUUUGUA